AUCUGCUGCUGUGGGGCUGGUGCAAACUGACUUGCAGGAAUCACAAAAGGAGAACAUAGGAAUUCACAAGUGUGUCUACCUUCCUGUUGGUAAGUAAAAAGGUAAAAUAGAAGAAAAGUCAAAGCAAAAGGGGGAGUUAAAGUAAAGCUGAUGCAUUUUUAAGGGAAGUAUGGAAACCUGUUUGUUUCAGCACAAGUCUAGAUUGAAAGCAGCGAUCUUGAAGUGCACAGGGAAAAACGGUUCUGUGCUCCAAAGGAGAAACUUAGCUUAUUGUAGAAAAAGACACUCAGAAGAUACAAGCCUCACAGAAUGCAGGAUGAUCUGGAAAAAAUUCUUAAUGAAGGUGAACCAAUAAGGGAGAGAAAUUCUAACCCAAUGAUGGCUUGCAUAUCAAAUUUAUGAAUCUCAGAAGCAGAACCUGAAAGUCUUCAGGGGAGGAGAGCUCGAGCUUUCAUUAAACCUUGUUACAAGUUCAAGACGGACAGUUGCAGCUGAAACAUUGGUGUGAGAUUCUUUGCCUCAUAGAUCUGUGAUCAUAGAAGAGCUCUGCAAGUCAAAUUUCAGGUAACUAAAAAAUUUAU